GACGAACGCUGGCGGCGUGCUUAACACAUGCAAGUCGAACGGAAAGGCUCCAGCUUGCUGGAGUACUCGAGUGGCGAACGGGUGAGUAACACGUGGGUAAUCUGCCCUGCACUCUGGGAUAAGCCUGGGAAACUGGGUCUAAUACUGGAUAUGACCUUUCUCCUUAUGGGGUCUGGUGGAAAGUUUGUCGGUGUAGGAUGAGCCCGCGGCCUAUCAGCUUGUUGGUGGGGUGAGGGCCUACCAAGGCGACGACGGGUAGCCGGCCUGAGAGGGUGAGCGGCCACAUUGGGACUGAGAUACGGCCCAGACUCCUACGGGAGGCAGCAGUGGGGAAUAUUGCACAAUGGGCGGAAGCCUGAUGCAGCGACGCCGCGUGAGGGAUGACGGCCUUCGGGUUGUAAACCUCUUUCAGCAGGGACGAAGCGUAAGUGACGGUACCUGCAGAAGAAGCACCGGCUAACUAUGUGCCAGCCGCCGCCGUAA
rnacentral:rRNA from 1 species